GAACGCUGGCGGCAGGCCUAACACAUGCAAGUCGAGCGAGGACUUCGGUCCUAGCGGCGGACGGGUGAGUAACGCGUGGGAACGUGCCCUUUGCUUCGGAAUAGCCCUGGGAAACUGGGAGUAAUACCGGAUGAGCCCUUUGGGGGAAAGAUUUAUCGGCGAAGGAUCGGCCCGCGUUGGAUUAGGUAGUUGGUGGGGUAAUGGCCUACCAAGCCGACGAUCCAUAGCUGGUUUGAGAGGAUGAUCAGCCACACUGGGACUGAGACACGGCCCAGACUCCUACGGGAGGCAGCAGUGGGGAAUCUUAGACAAUGGGGGAAACCCUGAUCUAGCCAUGCCGCGUGAGCGAUGAAGGCCUUAGGGUUGUAAAGCUCUUUCAGCUGGGAAGAUAAUGACGGUACCAGCAGAAGAAGCCCCGGCUAACUCCGG
rnacentral:rRNA from 1 species